rnacentral:rRNA from 1 species
GACGAACGCUGGCGGCGUGCUUAACACAUGCAAGUCGAACGGUGAAGCUCCAGCUUGCUGGAGUGGAUCAGUGGCGAACGGGUGAGUAACACGUGAGCAACCUGCCCCUGACUCUGGAAUAAGCGCUGGAAACGGCGUCUAAUACUGGAUACGAGAAGGGUCCGCAUGGGCACUUUCUGUAAAGUUGUUCGGUUGGGGAUGGGCUCGCGGCCUAUCAGCUUGUUGGUGAGGUAAUGGCUCACCAAGGCGACGACGGGUAGCCGGCCUGAGAGGGCGACCGGCGACACUGGGACUGAGACACGGCCCAGACUCCUACGGGAGGCAGCAGUGGGGAAUAUUGCACAAUGGGCGAAAGCCUGAUGCAGCGACGCCGCGUGAGGGAUGACGGCCUUCGGGUGGUAAACCUCUUUCAGCAGGGAAGAAGCGAAAGUGACGGUACCUGCAGAAGAAGCACCGGCUAACUACGUG